rnacentral:misc_RNA from 1 species
UCAUAUAUCACCUAUCAAUUUAUUCCACAGCAUACAGAAAACUGUUCAACUAUGAAUAUUUGUGUAUUAGACUAUCUCGUGAAUCAAAGUUUCCAAAAGUAACUACCACACAUCAGUAAAGCCAGGAUGCUCAAAAAAGAUUGAACAGAACAAAAGUAAAGUUAUAGCACAAGUCCAGAACUUGAGUUAGACAUGUAUGCUUAAGAAAAAUGACAGAAAUCAUUAUUCAGUAUAGGAGUUGGUACUCUUCUCUUGGAUGCAUUAGUUGAUUCCACUUAUGUGACCAAUAGUUCAGGUGAG